rnacentral:lncRNA from 1 species
AAGCUUUUCAUCUUUUUCUUCCUUUUGGUUCUGACUGACACCUGACAGCAUUACAUUACAUGUGUUGGCACAUAUAGCCACCAUUUGGUGGAAACACAAGAGGGAAAUGGAGGAGAGGAGGAGAGAUGGUAUGAGCAAAGCCCCCUGUUCCGCCCGCCACGUCAGUUCCUUGUUCAACUGUUACGAAACACAAGAGGGAAAUGGAGGAGAGGAGGAGAGAUGGUAUGAGCAAAGCCCCCUGUUCCGCCCGCCACGUCAGUUCCUUGUUCAACUGUUACAUGGUCUGACAGUGUCCGUCUUCGUGAAUGGAUCGAUGACAGGCGGGCUUAAUACGGCUCAUGCCACUGUUGGGACGAACUUACAUCUUUACAGGAAAGCAAACGGACCAACAUCACGCACGCUCUUUACUCUGCACACGCAUUUGGUGUAACUGUACAAAAAACAAUUCCUGUAGGUAUGGACGUUGGGCAGCUGCUAAUCUUCGUUUUUCU